rnacentral:rRNA from 1 species
AACAGAUAUCCCCUAGUAGUGGCGAGCGAACGGGGAUCAGCCGAGCGUGAGAAUGACCAGAAUGGCCUGGAAAGGCCAGCCAUAGUGGGUGACAGCCCCGUAUGGGAAGUUUGAUCGGACGUAUUAAGUAGGGCGGGACACGUGAAAUCCUGUCUGAAGAUCGGGGGACCACCUCGAAGGCUAAGUACUCCUUACUGACCGAUAGCGAACCAGUACCGUGAGGGAAAGGUGAAAAGCACCCCGACGAGGGGAGUGAAACAGUUUCUGAAACCGGACGCCUACAAGCAGUCGGAGCCUCCUUGAGAGGUGACGGCGUACCUUUUGUAUAAUGGGUCAACGACUUGGUCUAUCUAGCAAGCUUAAGCCGGUAGGUGUAGGCGCAGCGAAAGCGAGUCUUAAAAUGGGCGACUUAGUUAGAUGGAUCAGACCCGAAACCAGAUGAUCUAGGCAUGAGCAGGAAUGAAGGUUGGGUAACACCAACUGGAGGUCCGAAACCCAACAACCUGUUGAAAAAGGUCGGGAUCGACUUGUGCCUAGGGGGUGAAAAGGCC